AGAGUUUGAUCCUGGCUCAGAGCGAACGCUGGCGGCAGGCUUAACACAUGCAAGUCGAGCGCCGUAGCAAUACGGAGCGGCAGACGGGUGAGUAACGCGUGGGAACGUACCUUUUGGUUCGGAACAACACAGGGAAACUUGUGCUAAUACCGAAUAAGCCCUUACGGGGAAAGAUUUAUCGCCGAAAGAUCGGCCCGCGUCUGAUUAGCUUGUUGGUGAGGUAACGGCUCACCAAGGCGACGAUCAGUAGCUGGUCUGAGAGGAUGAUCAGCCACAUUGGGACUGAGACACGGCCCAAACUCCUACGGGAGGCAGCAGUGGGGAAUAUUGGACAAUGGGCGCAAGCCUGAUCCAGCCAUGCCGCGUGAGUGAUGUUUGUCCUAGGGUUGUAAAGCUCUUUUGUGCGGGAAGAUAAUGACGGUACCGCAAGAAUAAGCCCCGGCUAACUUCGUGCCAGCAGCCGCGGUAAUACUAAGGGGGCUAGCGUUGCUCGGAAUCACUGGGCGUAACGGGUGCGCAGGCGGGUCUUUAAGUCAGGGGUGAAAUCCUGGAG
rnacentral:rRNA from 1 species